CUUAAGUGCCUUGCAAAUGCUUUCAAGCUCAGGAUGGUACUUGAUCUUUUGUUUAGUCAUUACCACUUCAAUAACCCCCAAGCAAGUCCUGCUGCCUUGUUCAAAAACAGGAAGGGCCAGAGUUCCACGUACAUCAUACAGUUGAGCAUGAUCUACCCGUGGAUAUUCAUCACUUCUAAAGAAUCGAACAUCAGGAGUCCACUCAGGAACCUUGCCCAAGAAAACCCGACCAGGAAGCCCCACCAUGUCCUUGGAAUCCUCCUCAGCUGAAAAUUGAUAGUUAACGGAUAUGUGUCUGUAAUUUGCCAGCCUUUGACAGUUGGGAACAAGGGCAAAACGUUGGUCAUGAGUUGUUAGAACACGCCUACCUCCUCUGUCUACAGGGACCCAUAUUUGUAUAAGGAUAUCUUUAUCUUUUGUGAAAUCUUUAAUAUAUCCAAGUGCUCUAAUUAAUCUAUCCCUGACAGAAGUUUUGGGGCCUGGACUUGUUCUCGGUCCAAUCCACCAACUUUUGCUUGCUUCAGAAGCUUCAUUUCUAUUAUUUUCCAAUCUGUUGGCACUACGUAUGUCGUGGCCAUGAGCCUGAACAUUAACCAGACUUCUGCCACGGGCUUCAUUUGAGGAUGAAUUAGUGGGCAACAAUGAUGUAUGUUCAUCAUCUUGAUUGCUUCUCUGGGAUGUAGAGGAAGCCAAAUCAACAUUACUGAUCUCUGAAGUAGACCAUAGAAACGAAGCAUCAACAAGGGCAGCAGAACUAGAGGGGCUAGUAUUGAAGAACUCAGACCCAUCAAUUGUUUCCAGCCAGCAUCCUUCUAACAAUAAUUUAUCCAUGUAUUCAAUGUCCAUAGCUGAAUCAGCAUAAGCACCCAGCAUAGGCCCUGGUGAUAAAUUGCGGUCUUCCAUGAUGAUCUAUCCUCAAAAUCUCACUUAAAAGUCCCUAUUCUGCUGUGUUGUUCAAUGCUAUACUAUGCAAAAGAUGAUCUAAUUCCACCUAAAGUUCUCAAAACAAUAACCUCAUUUCAGAUAUUCAGUCUUCAAAUAUAAUCUGUCCAAAUUAUUGAAACACCCUCGAUACAGUCAACAAGAACAUCAAACCAGAUAAGUACAAUAAAUUCCACAGAGCAUUUGAGGUAGGGGAAAAAAUAAUUUCUUUUCCAGUUGAACGGGAGGGCGGUUGAUCAAUAGGAUGUUUCAGUGGAUGAACGCCAAACUGUGCAAAGAUAUCUUCUAUCAUUGUAGUCUUUUUGGUGGAGCAGAACCCAAAACCGAAAAAUAUACUGUCCAAACGUCUGUGGCCUGGAACAUGAGCAACGAACAAAGUAAAGGCUGAAAGACAGGCCCUUUGCGAGGCUGUUUCUUGGGAAAUAGCCUCCACAAGAAGAUAACUCUUUUUUCUCUCUCUCUCUCUCAUAGAAAUAAUCUGAGCCUCUCGCUAGCGUUUUCACUGUUUAUGAUUCCAUAUUAUUGUGCGAGGGAAGAUUCUGCUUCCAAACUAUGAUCCCACACGACCAGCUCACUAUGAUUUUGGUGGGUCUUGAAAUUCUCGCCGUUCAAGACAACUUUUUUCAAGCCCAGACAAAGCUAAAGCGGUAGAGAGAGAACCGUUCUGGUUGCUGAUGCCAUGGCUGACGUUGAAGCUAAAUCUUCAAUGGGGAAUAUAAUAUUAAAUUAAAAUAUAAAAUAUAAGUGGAAU
rnacentral:misc_RNA from 1 species